ensembl:lncRNA
GCUGAUGCCGUGGGGUGAGGGAGGAGGAGGGAGCCCGGGGAGCCAGGCCGAGAGCAUUGGCAGAGGAAGAAAGAGAGGAGGGGAAAAAUGUAUCCUGAAAUGAACAACUGCAGACAAAGGGCCAAGUCUGGCUCCCCCCCUUCCUUAAACCUUACACCAUGAGUAAUCCCGGCUCCGCGGCGCAGUCACCGCGUGCGGGAGUCAGGGCAGAAGCAGAAUCCGGGGCUGUUCUCAUCCUCAUCCUCUCACUGAUUUUCAAACAAGAAUAAACUCAGCUUUUCCUGUUCAAGCUGCUCUGCCACAGCAGAAAAGAUUUCAGCUUUCUGUCAACCUGAUGGCAAAACGAAGUCGUUCCCUUCCAGGUAACCGCCUCUGAUUGAGAACAUCCACUCACCAAAGGCUUUCGGUGCUCUGGUGGGGGAAGAAGAAGAGGAGAAAAACCCCAAACCCGUCCAUACACAGUGCCCCUGCAGCUGCCCCACACACCGUGACCCCAUAGCUGUGGGGUUCUGGUGCUGUCGGUGUGUCUGGCAGAGGUGUGCCUCCAUCCCGCUGCAUCCCACUGCAUCCCUCUGCAUCCCACAUCCCUCUGCAUCCCACAUCCCUCUGCCAGGCUCUGCAGCUCCUUCCAAACAAAGAGGGAUCUCUGGGCCGCCCUCCAUCCACCACCUCCCCUCGGUGGAAGCCUGCCCACGUCUUUUUGUGCAAAUCCUUCCCUCUCGGAUGCUAUUUGAUGUCUUCAAAGGGGCUAUUCUUAUGUGGAGAAAAGAGGGCGAGCUCAGGUCUGACAAGGCUCUUCGCUCGCAGCGCAGCUAUUUUUUCACUCGGAAGAGUGCCAGUUUGGGAUUUCAAGACAAAAAAAGAAAUAAAUAAAAUACAUAUAUUCUCUUUUUCACAGGCUGAUA